rnacentral:rRNA from 1 species
GACGAACGCUGGCGGCGUGCUUAACACAUGCAAGUCGAACGGAAAGGCCCUGCUUUUGUGGGGUGCUCGAGUGGCGAACGGGUGAGUAACACGUGAGUAACCUGCCCUUGACUUUGGGAUAACUUCAGGAAACUGGGGCUAAUAUCGGAUAGGAGCUCCUGCUGCAUGGUGGGGGUUGGAAAGUUUCGGCGGUUGGGGAUGGACUCGCGGCUUAUCAGCUUGUUGGUGGGGUAGUGGCUUACCAAGGCUUUGACGGGUAGCCGGCCUGAGAGGGUGACCGGCCACAUUGGGACUGAGAUACGGCCCAGACUCCUACGGGGGGCAGCAGUGGGGAGUAUUACACAGUGGGCGGAAGCCUGAUGCGGCGGCGCCGCGUGCGGGAUGACGGCCUUCGGGUUGUAAACCGCUUUCGCCUGUGACGAAGCGUGAGUGACGGUAAUGAGUAAAGAAGCACCGGCUAACUACGUG